UUGAUAGAGGUGCGACAUUUAUCAGUAGCGAGAGCAAUAACAGCAGGGGCUCGGUUCUUGUAAAAGGAAAUGCCGCCGAAACGGUUUGUCACCCCGAAGGACAGGCUGUUGGGCCGAUACAAAAGAUGUAUCGGACUGUCACUUUCCGUGGAGCGCUAUCA
rnacentral:ncRNA from 1 species